UUUAAUGUUUGAUGUUCUAACGUGGACCCGUAAUCCGGGUUGCGGACAGUGUCUGGUGGGUAGUUUGACUGGGGCGGUCUCCUCCCAAAGAGUAACGGAGGAGCACGAAGGUUAGCUAAUCCUGGUCGGACAUCAGGAGGUUAGUGCAAUGGCAUAAGCUAGCUUGACUGCGAGCGUGACGGCGCGAGCAGGUGCGAAAGCAGGUCAUAGUGAUCCGGUGGUUCUGAAUGGAAGGGCCAUCGCUCAACGGAUAAAAGGUACUCCGGGGAUAACAGGCUGAUACCGCCCAAGAGUUCAUAUCGACGGCGGUGUUUGGCACCUCGAUGUCGGCUCAUCACAUCCUGGGGCUGAAGUAGGUCCCAAGGGUAUGGCUGUUCGCCAUUUAAAGUGGUACGCGAGCUGGGUUUAGAACGUCGUGAGACAGUUCGGUCCCUAUCUGCCGUGGGCGCUGGAGAAUUGAGGGGGGCUGCUCCUAGUACGAGAGGACCGGAGUGGACGCAUCACUGGUGUUCGGGUUGUCAUGCCAAUGGCAUUGCCCGGUAGCUAAAUGCGGAAGAGAUAAGUGCUGAAAGCAUCUAAGCACGAAACUUGCCCCGAGAUGAGUUCUCCCUGA
rnacentral:rRNA from 1 species